rfam:Oryza brachyantha chromosome 5, whole genome shotgun sequence.
AGGGCAACAAUGAUGUUAGAUCCAUACCCAUCCUUGCACUAUGAGGUUACCCAUGAAGAAAACAUUGGGGAAUUUGUAGUCUGAGAUGCUC